UACGGAGGAUCCGAGCGUUAUCCGGAUUUAUUGGGUUUAAAGGGUGCGCAGGCGGGAGAUUAAGUCGGCGGUGAAAUUUUGCAGCUCAACUGUAAAAGUGCCUUCGAAACUGGUUUCCUUGAGUGUAGAUGAAGUAGGCGGAAUUUGUGGUGUAGCGGUGAAAUGCAUAGAUAUUACACAGAACACCGAUUGCGAAGGCAGCUUACUAAUCCAUCAUUGACGCUGAGGCACGAAAGCGUGGGGAUCAAACAGGAUUAGAUACCCCU
rnacentral:rRNA from 1 species